rnacentral:rRNA from 1 species
AUGUUGCGUAAAGGGAAAGGUCGUAGUCAAACCCCACAGCCACGCGAACUCUAAGUCAGCCACGAAUAGGCUAACCCAACUAACGGCGGGAAAGACUCCACGGAGGGUGUAAGACCCGUGUGGGCGCGUGUUAAAGCUGUGCGGGCUCGGCCUUUUUUCCCUGAGAGUCGCGUUGCUUGAGCAUGCAGCGCUAAGCAGGUCGUAAACUCGAUCUAAGGCUAAAUAUCUCCACAGAACCGAUAGCAAACAAGUACCGUGAGGGAAAGUUGAAAAGCACUCUGGAGAGAGAGUCAAAAGACCGUGAAACCGUUCAGAGUAUAAGCCCAUGGCAGCUUGGAAGGCAUAUCGAUGGCGGGGCAUCGGAAACCUUCUCUCUUACGAGGGUUGGCAACUGGUGUUCCCUUGUUUCUGUUUAAGGCUCGUCAAGGUAGGGGGGACGAGUCCACAUCCCGCCGUCCUGCGGGGAGUAUUCAGGCAUGGUGUUUGGGAGUUGCUUUGCACUUAAUUGUGUGGGGUUUCUCUUUUCAUUGUGUUUGGUGCUUCUUUAACACGGACGUUCAAAGACAGUUACAAGACGCGAUAACCAGCCCACCACGGCGCGUUGUGAGGUCACCCACAGGCUGGACUUUUGAUUGCGUUCCUUGACGCCGAGCAAGCACAAUGCGUGUCGCUGAUAUUCCUAUAACCAAGUGGAAUGACACGCGCUCAACAGUCAGGUUCGGGCAAAGACACAGUACUGGUAUGAUCCUCAGGCGACGAGCCGGCUUCUGGCCAAAAUUCUGACGAACAGGUCUCUCGCAUGUGCCGCGAGAGAUCGCUUUGACGGUCUGGAUG